UAUCUCUCCGUACGGGGAAGGAUGAGAAGCUUCGACCAAGGUUCGAUUCGAGCGCAGCGAGAAAGCGUUGCCGUAGGCAACGACCCGAAGGGCGAAGCGC
rnacentral:sRNA from 1 species